rnacentral:lncRNA from 1 species
UGGAUGGAAUGUAGUUAUGUGUUAAAUUACAUAUCAUGCUCUAUGAAUUGUUAAAAGUCAAAAUAUGACUAAGUUAAUUGGGUUAUGGAACUCAAUCUAUAUGUGAUUACAUUGUUGUAUGAUGUAACUCGAUAAAUUAGAAAUGUAUAAUGCAUGAAUGAAUGUUUUGUAAGGAAUUAUUGAUGCAUGUAGAAUAUGCAUAGUAAAGAAUAUAUGAUGCAUGCUGAUAUGCAUAUUAAAGGAAAUGUAGUG